rnacentral:rRNA from 1 species
GACGAACGCUGGCGGCGUGCUUAACACAUGCAAGUCGAACGGAAAGGCCCUGCUUUUGUGGGGUGCUCGAGUGGCGAACGGGUGAGUAACACGUGAGUAACCUGCCCUUGACUUUGGGAUAACUUCAGGAAACUGGGGCUAAUACCGGAUAGGAGCUCCUGCUGCAUGGUGGGGGUUGGAAAGUUUCGGCGGUUGGGGAUGGACUCGCGGCUUAUCAGCUUGUUGGUUGGGUAGUGGCUUACCAAGGCUUUGACGGGUCGCCGGCCUGUGAGGGUGACCGGCCACAUUGGGACUGAGAUACGGCCCAGACUCCUACGGGAGGCAGCAGUGGGGAAUAUUGCACAAUGGGCGGAAGCCUGAUGCAGAAACGCCGCGUGCGGGAUGACGGCCUUCGGGUUGUAAACCGCUUUCGCCUGUGACGAAGCGUGAGUGACGGUAAUGGGUAAAGAAGCACCGGCUAACUACGUG